UGACAAGCGAAGAAGGGCGUAUGGUGGAUGCCUUGGCAACUAGGGCCGAUGAAGGACGUGGCAACGCUGCGAAAAGCCACGGGGAGCCGCUUGCAGGCCGAUCCGUGGAUAUCCGAAUGGGGCAACCCACCUCCCGUGAUGGGGAGGGACCCUCUUAGUGAGGGAGGCAAGUGGGGGAACUGAAACAUCUAAGUACCCCGAAGAAAAGAGACAAUUCCCGUAGUAGUGGCGAACGAACCGGGAGGAGCCCAAACCUGAUACGUGUGAUACCCUGCCGGGGUUGCGUAUUGGGGGUUGAAGGACCUACUGAGGUACGGCAGUAACCUCGAGCAGUUACAAAAGUUGCGUCUAGGAGAACGAGCCUGGAAAGGCCGACCAGAGGGGGUGACAGUCCCGUAACCGAAAGACGACAACACUGCUGUAGGUAUCCUGAGUACCACCAGGCACGAAGAACCUGGUGGGAAGCUGGGUCGACCACGAUCCAAGGCUAAAUACCCUAGUGACCGAUAGCGAACUAGUACCGUGAGGGAAAGGUGAAAAGCUCCCCGAGAGGGGAAUGAAAUAGAACCUGAAACCAUACGCUUACAAGCAGUCAGAGCUCCAUGUUACUCUACCUCGCAAGGGGUGGGGAUAGCGGAGUGAUGGCGUACUUUUUGUAGAACGGGCCGGCGAGUUACCCUCUUUAGUAAGGUUAAGCCAGUGACAGGCGGAGCCGAAGCGAAAGCGAGUCCGAAAGGGCGUCCUGAAAAGGAACAUUGGAGGGGGUAGACCCGAAACUGUGUGAGCUACUUAUGGCCAGGGUGAAGCGCACCUAACCGUGCGUGGAGGCCCGAACACACCACUAGUGCAAAAGUGGGUGAUGAGCUGUGAGUAGAGGUGAAAUGCCAAUCGAACACAGAGAUAGCUGGUUCUCUCCGAAAUGCAUCUAGGUGCAGCGUCACAUAUGGAGUUAUUGGGGGUAGAGCACUGAAACGGCUAGGGGGCAUUAGCUUACCAAACCGUAACAAACUCCGAAUACCAGUAACUUAAUGUGGCAGUGAGACGGCGAGUGCUAAGAUCCGUCGUCGAGAGGGAAACAACCCAGACCAUCGGCUAAGGUCCCCAAUUCUGGACUAAGUUGUAAAGGAAGUUAGAUCGCAUAGACAACCAGGAGGUUGGCUUAGAAGCAGCCACCCUCUAAGGAGUGCGUAACAGCUCACUGGUCGAAUGUGAUUUAGCGCCGACAAUUCACCGGGGAUCAAGUCCAGAACCGAAGCCAUGGUUCUACGUGUGAAACAUUCACGUGGAAGGUAGGAGAGCGUUCCGGAAGUCUGAGAAGCCGUACCGAGAGGAGCGGUGGAGAUAACGGAAGAGAGAAUGCCGGCAUGAGUAGCGCAUUGCGUGUGAAAAUCACGCACACCGUAAGCCUAAGGGUUCCGAAGCAAGGUUUAUCCACUUCGGGUCAGUCGGGCCUAAGGCGUACCCGAAGGGGGAAGCCGAUGGACAACAGGUUGAUAUUCCUGUACCACUCUGCAUCGUUUCUCGAAAGAGAUGGAGCAAUGGGGGGACGCAGGGGGCUAGGCUCCGAGAUCCAUGAGAUCUUCUAAGGUGGUAGGCUGAGGGGUAGGCAAAUCCGUCCCUCGCGUGAAGAACGCAAAGCCGAGAGCUGAAUGGAAGCUUUCUCCUUCGGGAGAGGGCAACGGAGUUGAGGCCGAGCUGCCGAGAAAAUCCUCUAGCCAGAGCGUAGAGUGACCGUACCGCAAACCGACACAGGUAGGCAGGUAGAGAAUACCAAGGUGAUCGGGUGAUCCAUCGUUAAGGAACUAGGCAAAAUAGCCCCGUAACUUCGGGAGAAGGGGCACCCUCUGGUGUGACGAGACUAGCUCUCCGAGCAUAGGGGGGUCGCAGUGAAAUGGCUCAGGCGACUGGUUAACAAAACCUUAGCUCUCUGCAAACGCGCAAGCGUACGUAUAGGGGGUGAUGCCUGCCCAGUGCUGGAAGGUUAAAGGGAGAUGUGCAAGCAUUGAACUGAAGCCCCAGUAAACGGCGGCCGUAACUAUAACGGUCCUAAGGUAGCGAAAUUCCUUGUCGGGUAAGUUCCGACCCGCACGAAAGGCAUAACGGUUCUGAGCACUGUCUCGACGAUGGGCCCGGCGAAAUUGAAAGACCCGUGAAGAUACGGGUUACCCACAGCAGGACAAAAAGACCCCGUGGAGCUUUACUACAACUUGCCAUUGGGUCGGGGCACAUCAUGCGUAGGAUAGGUGGGACCCUUUGAAGCUGCCCUUGCGGGGGCGGUGGAGGGAACGGUGAAAUACCACUCUUGAUGUGCCGCGGCUCUAACCCAAUUAGGGGACAGUGGCUGGUGGGUAGUUUGACUGGGGCGGUCGCCUCCCAAAGAGUAACGGAGGCGUCCAAAGGUACCCUCAGGCCGGGUGGCAAUCGGCCAGUGAGUGCAAACGCACAAGGGUGCUUGACUGCGAGGCCCACAAGCCGAGCAGGUACGAAAGUAGGGGUUAGUGAUCCCACGGUACCGAGUGGAAGGGCCGUGGCUUAACGGAUAAAAGCUACCCCGGGGAUAACAGGCUGAUCUUGCCCAAGAGUUCACAUCGACGGCAAGGUUUGGCACCUCGAUGUCGGCUCGUCGCAUCCUGGGGCUGGAGUAGGUCCCAAGGGUUGGGCUGUUCGCCCAUUAAAGCGGCACGCGAGCUGGGUUCAGAACGUCGUGAGACAGUUCGGUCUCUAUCCGCUGUGGGCGUUAGAAGGUUGCGAGGGGCUGCCCCUAGUACGAGAGGACCGGGGUGGACCAACCUCUGGUGUGCCGGUUGUUGACGAAGCAUAGCCGGGUAGCCACGUUGGGAAGGGAGAACCGCUGAAAGCAUCUAAGCGGGAAACCCUCCUCUAGAUGAGCCUUCUCACUCCCCCCGCAAGGGGAGGAGGUAAGACCCCUGGAAGAACACCAGGUUGUGAGUUCGCAGGUGUAUGUUCAGUAAUGGACGAGCCUAGCUGUUCCUCAUGGUCGAGGGCUUGUUUUU
rnacentral:rRNA from 1 species